GACGAACGCUGGCGGCGUGCCUAACACAUGCAAGUCGAGCGAUGAAAUCCCUUCGGGGAUGGAUUAGCGGCGGACGGGUGAGUAACACGUGGGUAACCUGCCUCAAAGAGGGGGAUAGCCUCCCGAAAGGGAGAUUAAUACCGCAUAAUAUUAGUUCUUCGCAUGGAGAACUAAUUAAAGGAGUAAUCCGCUUUGAGAUGGACCCGCGGCGCAUUAGCUAGUUGGUGAGGUAAAGGCUCACCAAGGCGACGAUGCGUAGCCGACCUGAGAGGGUGAUCGGCCACAUUGGAACUGAGAUACGGUCCAGACUCCUACGGGAGGCAGCAGUGGGGAAUAUUGCACAAUGGGCGGAAGCCUGAUGCAGCAACGCCGCGUGAGUGAUGAAGGCCUUCGGGUUGUAAAGCUCUGUCUUUGGGGACGAUAAUGACGGUACCCAAGGAGGAAGCCACGGCUAACUACGUGCCAGCAGCCGCCGUAAAAC
rnacentral:rRNA from 1 species